UCUCUCACAGGUUUGGAGUUCACAAGUUUAAAAACCAGUAUCAUGGCACUGAAUUAAGAUGUUGGCAGAGUGUGUCUCUCUCAGAGGCCCAAGGAGAAUCCUCUUCCAUGUUCUGGCGGCUGCAGCUUUCUUGGCCUGUGGCCACAUCACUCCAGUCCCCGGGGCCAGCAUCAUCAAGUCUCUGCUCCGAUUUUAAAUCGUCUUCUCUGUGUGUGUCAAGUCACCCUCUGCUUCCCUCUCAUAAGGAUACGUGUGACUGCACUCGGGGCCCACCCGGUAACGCAGGGCAACCGCCCCAUCUGAAGAUCCUUAACUUAAUCCCCUCUGCAACGGCCCUCUUUUUGCCAUAGAAGGUAACAUUCACAGGUUCCGGAGAUUGAGACGUGAAUAUCUUUGGGGGGAUCGUUUUUUUAGCUAACCAAAGUUGGCAAAUACGCUAAUAAUUGGAGUUCUCAGAAAAAGAAAGGCCUCCUGGCCCUGCCCCCGGGAGGCUCCGCCCCUGGCCCUGCCCUCGGGAGGCUCCGCCCCUGGCCCUGCCCCCGGGAGGCUCCGCCCCUGGCCCUGCCUUCUGAAGGCUCCGCCCCUGGCCCUGCCCUCGGGAGUCCCCGCUCCUGCGCGCCCGCCAAACAAUGCAGCUUCCAGGAGAACCAGCUCCAAAGUACUUAGGCCACACUCAGAGGAAGGGGAGGUUUGGGAAGAAAGCAGCAAGGAACCCUAGUGAAGGCCCUAGAGCCAAAGAGCCCAAGGAUAGGUCUUCUAAGGAGAAGAAUUGAAAGGUAAAUCACUCGCAGCCACGGAAACUGGCAACGUCCAGUCUCAUUUGGAGGAUGGAAAGUAAAAUAACGGCUUCCUGAAAGAUGGAAAGACAAGACUUGAAAACAGAUGCCCUUAGAUAAGGUGAGAUGUCUCAGGACAAGAACUCAGCUUGGACCGGAGUCUGUAUAGGUUGGGGCUCACCUGGUCAGCCACACCCGUGUACUGCAUCUGUCAGCAGGGACGUUAAAACUCGGCCUUUUUUGGACCACAAGAAAAAGAGCUGAGAAUAAGUGAGGCAAACAGUGAAUGAACGGAGUUGUUUGUAUAUGUUCACACAUCCAAAAAUGGUGCCGGCAAUAACCCUGUGCAGGUGCCAGGUAAGGAUUUCACUACCAGCCCCUCCCUGUGAGACGCUGGUGCUGCCUAAACCAGGAGGCUGGGGCAAGAUCUCCUCCAACACUAUCUGAGUCUGUUGCUCCAUCUGUUCCGUGUUCAUUCUGGGCUGGGACAGCCUCAUCUUCCCUAUCCCAGCACCAGGGUAGACGUACCUACUGCUCACAUGUCUUUCUUCAAAGAGCAGACAUUGCCAGCCGUGCUUCUAUUUUUGUAGCUAAUCUGACCCUAUUUGCUUCUGCACUAAUCUAUGCAGCAGCUUCAACUUGCCCCUAAUUAGAACGUGUGUCUGUGUCAGUCAGGGUUGGACCUGUGAAGCAAAACAAGUAGAUCUCUAGAAGAAGAGAUUGGGAUAUCAAGGAAUGGCUUGCAGGGAGCUGACCCACGCAUUGUGGGAAUGGAUUAAAAAUGGCCCCUGUACAGAUGUCUGUGCAUCCGAUACUGGAGCUUGAAGGCCGUAGGGAAGUCAGGAAGCAAAGAUCACCAGCAGGCUGGAGCCCCACAGGCACAAGCAGGGACCCCACAAGGACAGCCUGGAAGCUGUGUCCAUUCUUGUUGCCCCUGACCUUGGUGGAGUGGAAACCAUGUCGAGGCCGGGCUCCUCAUCACUUAGCUAAACUCACGCAUCUGGCCCAGCUGCUGCUUCAUGCAAGGAGCUGAGUCAGCACAUUAGCUACAGAGCCAGGCUCUGCCUCCCUUUUACCCUCCAAAAUCUCAAGGGAAUCUCCCUUGUGACACACCCCAACAGGAAACACACAAGCAAGGGAAUUCUUUUACAUGAACAAAGCCAAAAUGCCACGUUACAAAGCCAUCGGUGCGUUACAGCAGCAACAGGAAACUAACACAGCCUGGAAUCAUGGGACGUCCUCCUUCCUCACCCUGCGUGGACCUGGGACCGGCACUUCUGGUAGACAGCCAGAACUGCAGCUCAUUGUCACCCAGCAUGUAACUUGAGUUCAAGCAAACUCCACUCCCUUGUGUGUAUCUUGCAUUUAUAUUCUUUCCAUAAGUGAAGGUUUGAUUGAGUUGGUUCAUCACUGUCCAAUAGACAGGAUUCCUAUUGCACAGUCAUGCUAAUGGCGCACACCUGGGGGUGUGGCUUCCCUCUUGUCCAAUCAGCUGUGUCCAGGGCAACAAGACUGCUGUCAAUCAACUCAAAGUGAGGAAAAUGUUACUGAGGAAAGAAUGGAUCUAGGCUAUUUGUGGGAGUCACUUGAGGACACCUCCCAGGUGACACAGAAGUUUAGAAAGCAAUCUUGAGGUUUUAAGAGAAGAAAGGCCCUUUCUGACCUCUUUACACAAACUUUAAUAGGGCAGCUUGAAUUGUCAGAAGCUUUAGAGCUACAGACCUGGGGCUCCAUUCUAUGGGGUCCUUUGAUCCCUGCCCACCGUCCCCUAAUGCCAGCUCUUAUGGUAGUCCUCCGCAUGUCAAAGGUGACCAUUCCUCCUGCAUCACCCACCUUGACCUUGGCCCUGCAGAUUGGUUUGAAGGAGGGCACAGUCUCACUGCUUGCCCAGAAGCAGUAUUUUUAGGAGUUUAAAGAUAAGAAAAAUCUGUUGAAGGCAAUUUCAGGUUCUAGGCUUUAUAAAAAGAGAUGCAGUGGAAAUCUGGAAAUCAGGAUGGCUUAAGAAGUCAAAGACAUUUGAAUUACUGCCUUUGGGACUGGAAGAAACCCAAACAAUUAGAGGUGUAAAGGCACAGGAUUCACGGCUUGAUAGGUGUUGAUAUAUCCCUCAAAACAGGUCUCCAGGCCCACUGGAGCCUGACCUCAUUUAAAACUGCUGGAAAAAUGCAUGUAAUAAGCUCAGUCUGAAGGCUCCCUGACAAUUCAGUUUGGAUCAAGGCUCUUUCCUAUAAGGGUUUGUUGUAUUUAUUACCAUUAUUUUUUAGUUAUUUAUGUUUUCCUGUUAUAAUAUGCUACCUUUUAAAAAACAAUUAAGAAUCUCAGACCAGACUAUCUAGAAAUAAACUGGUGCUUUUCUAGGGUGUUUGUUAAAAGGCAAGGAUUUUGUUUUUUACUCAUUAUUCCGUCUUGUUAUGGAUUUUCAAUGACUUGUCUCAAAAUUGUUCCAUCACCUUAACCUGAAUCCUCAAUUAAGUUUCCCAGUCACUACUAUUAAAUAAAAACCUUUAAAG